UUCCGGUUGAUCCCGCCGGACCCCACUGCUAUCGAGAUGGGACUAAAGUAUGCUAGUCGAACGACCAGAACUAUGUCUGGAAGUGGCACACUGCUCAGUAACACGUAGCUAACCUACCCUUAGGACGUGGAUACCCCCGAGAAAUUGGGGUUAAUCCGCGAUAGGUGUAAUGUCCUGGAAUGGUAUUACGCCUAAAGGUGUAUCAUACAUGUUUGAUAUACGCCUAAGGAUGGGGCUGCGGCCGAUCAGGCUGUUGGUGAGGUAAUGGCUCACCAAACCUUUGACCGGUACGGGCCAUGAGAGUGGUAGCCCGGAGAUGGACACUGAGACAAGGGUCCAGGCCCUAAGGGGCGCAGCAACCGCGAAACCUCCACAAUGCACUCACGUGCGAUGGGGCUAUCUCGAGUGCCACCUGAUGAAGGUGGCUUUUCCUAGGUCUUCAAAGCCUUGGGAAUAAGAGGGGGGCAAGACUGGUGUCAGCCGCCGCGGUAACACCAGCCCCUCGAGUGGUGGGGAUGAUUAUUUGGCCUAAAGCGUCCGUAGCCGGCCGAGCAAGUCUUCCGUUAAAUCCAGCGUCUCAAGCGUUGGACUGCGGGAGAUACUACACGGCUAGAGAGUGGGAGAGGUCAGCGGUAUUCUGGGGGUAGGGGCGAAAUCCUUUGAUCCCCGGAGGACCACCAGUGGCGAAGGCUGCUGACUAGAACACGUCUGACGGUCAGGGACGAAAGCUGGGGUAGCGAACCGGAUUAGAUACCCGGGUAGUCCCAGCCGUAAACGAUGCAUGCUAGGUGUUGGGUUGGCCACGAGCCACCCCAGUGCCGCAGGGAAGCCGUUAAGCAUGCCGCCUGGGAAGUACGAUCGCAAGAUUGAAACUUAAAGGAAUUGGCGGGGGAGCACCACCAGGCGUGAAGCCUGCGGUUUAAUUGGAGUCAACGCCGGG
rnacentral:rRNA from 1 species